rnacentral:rRNA from 1 species
UGUGAAUUGCAGAAUCCCGUGAACCAUCGAGUUUUUGAACGCAAGUUGCGCCCGAAGCCAUUAGGACAAGGGCACGUCUGCCUGGGCGUCACGC